rnacentral:rRNA from 1 species
CAGUCGCCGCGGUAAUACAGAGGGUGCGAGCGUUAAUCGGAUUUACUGGGCGUAAAGCGUGCGUAGGCGGCUUUUUAAGUAGGAUGUGAAAUCCCUGAGCUUAACUUAGGAAUUGCAUUCGAUACUGGGAAGCUAGAGUAUGGGAGAGGAUGGUAGAAUUCCAGGUGUAGCGGUGAAAUGCGUAGAGAUAUGGAGGAAUACCGAUGGCGAAGGCAGCCAUCUGGCCUAAUACUGACGCUGAGGUACGAAAGCAUGGGGAGCAAACAGGAUUAGAGACCCCGGUAGUCCCUGUCUCUUAUAC